GGCUGGUUAGCUCAGUUGGUUAGAGCAUGGUGCUGAUAACAUCAAGGUCCGGGGUUCAGAUUCCCUUACUGGCCA